rnacentral:misc_RNA from 1 species
UAGUAACUACGACCAACAUGUGGCGAUUGGAGCGAAACGCAAAGGUGGCAGGUGGCUUAUAAGAAGUUCUUGUUUUUCGUAACUUUUGCGUGGAAAUACCUGUGUGUGUAAUUAACAGGUGUAGAAAGUUUCCUACUAGUUACUUGGGUUUCUUCUUGUCUGCUUUUAUUAUCAGGGGCAGUAUGUCUGAAAUAAAUAUUAAUGAGCCCCGAUGGGACCAAAACACAUACUGGGGGCGAGCUAAACACUUUUUCACUACAACAAAUCCUUUAAAUUUACUGUGCAGCAAUGCUGAACUGGAUAGAGCAAAGGAAAUUGUUGUUAAAUGCAGAAAAGAAGAGAAAGUUAAUCUUUCUGAAGAUGAAAUCUGGCGGGCAAAGCAUAUAUAUGACUCAGCUUUUCAUCCUGACACUGGAGAAAAAAUGAUUUUAAUAGGUCGAAUGUCGGCACAAGUACCUAUGAACAUGACAAUUACUGGAUGCAUGCUUGCAUUUUACAAAACAACACCACAAGUUGUAUUUUGGCAAUGGAUAAAUCAGUCUUUCAAUGCCAUUGUUAACUACACAAAUCGUAGUGGGGAUUCCCCUAUUCCUGUGAAACAGCUUGGGACUUCCUAUGUUCUUGCCACUUCUGGUGCUCUUGUUACAGCUCUAGGAUUAAAUAAUUUAGUAAAAACUGCACCACCUUUGAUUGGCCGUUUUGUUCCGUUCUGUGCUGUUGCUGCUGCAAAUUGUGUUAACAUUCCAAUGAUGCGGCUAAAUUGCAUAAUUAUGGUUCAAGUAAAACAUGAUGAAAGAAGUCCAGGACUUAGAAGAGAAGGGCUAGCUCAUAGAGCUUUUCCCCCUGAAGCAGAAAGGAAUUGCAAGAAGGUAUACCUGUUGUUGAUAAAGAUGGUAACAAAAUUGGCUCUUCCAAAAUUGCUGCUAAAUGGGCAAUUGCUCAAGUUGUAUUAUCUAGAAUUGGAAUGGCUAUGCCUGGCAUGUUAAUUCCACCAGUAAUAAUGAACCAUUUGGAUAAAAAAGGAGUUCUGAAGAGGUAUCCAUGGAUAAAUGCUCCUCUUCAAGUGGGUCUUUGUGGUCUUUUCUUAGUAUUUGCAACACCUCUUUGCUGUGCACUUUUCCCCCA